GGAGAUAUGGCUCAGUGGUUAAGAGCACUGGCUGCUCUUCCAGAGGGCCUGGGUCCGAUUCCCAGCACCCACG
rnacentral:tRNA from 1 species